UUUGUUGUGUGAUUGUCGACCUUUCAGAUUUCGAUCAAAUAUGAGGUUUAUUGCCGUCGCGAGGUCAGAAAAACCGAGUAGAAGUAUUGUUGAGGUGUAUUUUAAACGCUUUUUUUGGGGACAGUUUAUUAAGGAACCACACUAAAACGAUUUACAAAGUUCGUUUUAUAAGUGGGGUCGAAAGAUAAACGGUUGUUGCAGAUUCUUUUCUGUGUAUUCCCUAAUCGAUUGAAUGUCAGUGGGUCACAAUAGGGAAAUCUUUUGUAUCGUAAGACAACCUUUUAAUGUGUUUUAAAUCUAGUUACGAAAGUUCAGGGGACUUCGGCCAGACGUGGUCCGGUUCGCGGAUGCUGUAAUGAAUGUCGACCGCAAGCUCCAAUUAUUAGCCAAAGGCAAGUGCUCUAUAUCGGCGGACGUUAAUGGAACUGGAACUGGAGCUAAACUCUCAGCCGAACAAUGAGGAACCAACUUUGUUGGAUGGCAAUUAGAUUUAAAUAUUAAACGCUACCGCUCGUCGUAAAUGAAUAUCUAACGAGUUUAAUUGGAGCGAUAAUCACAACAACAGUAGGACAGAGAACGGAGCAAGCACAAAAAAAAACAGAAGAAAAAUAAACCGAGU